rnacentral:pre_miRNA from 1 species
CAUAUACUCCCUCCGUCCAACAAAAAAUGUCUCAAUUUUGAUCAAAUUUAAAUGCAUCUGUACACUAAGUCAUGUCUAGAUACAUUCAAAUUUUAACAAACUUGAGACAUCUUUUGUUGGACGGAGGAAGUAUAUG